rnacentral:lncRNA from 1 species
UAAUCGAUUUACCAAUCGAUUCUUUUAAAACCACUUUUCAGUAUAACAUGUUCAGACUUGUUGGAAUCGAUUGCCUAAUCGAUUUCUGGAAAACUGUUUCAAUAAGAGUAAGUUCAAUCGAUUACUCAAUCGCUGUUCCAACUCUCAGAGUUCACUGUGUUUUCAAAAAGUUUAUUUCAAUCGAUUUGCCAAUCGAUUGUGUUCAAAACAGUGGCUCAGUUUUUUGAUGUCAAUCGAUUUGCCAAUCGAUUUAAUAGCAUGUUCCUGAAAAGUUUUUACCUGGUGUUUAGUUCAAUCGAUUUCCCAAUCGAUUGC